GUCUAUUAUGAAGAUAUUAAUAGUCUGGCCUGCUCCCUGAUUACAAGUUAAAGAGCCGCGGUAAUUUGACCGUGCAAAGGUAGCAUAAUCAUUAGUUUCUUAAUUGGGAACUUGUAUGAAAGGUUUGACAAAGAAAAAGCUGUCUUUAUUAUAUAAAUUGAAUUUAACUUUUAAGUGAAAAGGCUUAAAUAAUUUAGAGGGACGAUAAGACCCUAUAAAGCUUUAUAUAAAAAAUAAUUAAAACUUAAUUUAUAAUAAAAUUUAAAAUUAACUAUAUAUUUUGUUGGGGUGAUGUUAAUAAAAUUAAUAUUAACUGUUAAAAAACAAUACGUAAAUAAGAGAGUCAGAAUUAUCAGUGAUCCUUGGUUAAAGAUUAAAAGAUUAAGUUACUUUAGGGGUAACAGCGUAAUUUUUCUUAAGAGUCCAUAUCGAAAGAAAAGAUUUCGACCUCGAUGUUGAAUUAAGAUAUCUGUGUAAAGUAGCCAUUACAUGAGAAGGUC
rnacentral:rRNA from 1 species